GACGAACGCUGGCGGCGUGCUUAAUACAUGCAAGUCGAACGGAAAGGCCCUGCUCUUGCUGGGUUCUCGAGUGGCGAACGGGGGAGUAACACGCGAGUAACCUGCCCUUGACUUUGGGAUAACUUCAGGAAACAGGGGCUAAUACCGGAGAUGAUCUCCUGCUCCAUGGGGGUGGUUGGAAAGUUUCGGCUGUUGGGGAUGGACUCGCGGCUUAUCAGCUUGUUGGUGGGGUAGUGGCUUACCAAGGCUUUGACGGGUAGCCGGCCUGAGAGGGUUACCGGCCACAUUGGGACUGAGAUACGGCCCAGACUCCUACGGGAGGCAGCAGUGGGAAAUAUUGCGCAGUGGGCGGAAGCCUGAUGCAGAAGUGCCGCGUGCGGGAUGCCCGCCUUCGGGUUGUAAACCGCUUUCGCCUGUGACGAAGCGUGAGUGACGGUAAUGGGUAAAGAAGCCCCGGCUAACUACGUG
rnacentral:rRNA from 1 species